rnacentral:tRNA from 1 species
UCCAGGGUAGUGUAGUGGAUAUGGCAUCUGCCCGGUAAGCGGAACACUGUGGGUUCGAUUCCCAUACCUGAAC